rfam:Penicillium freii strain DAOM 242723 scaffold_99, whole genome shotgun sequence.
GGCGGUUUGGCCGAGUGGUUAAGGCGAUUGACUCGGUAUGUUCCACCAAUUAUGGUCACCACCGAAACACUAUACUAAUCCUCCCACAGAAAUCAAUUCCAUUCGUGGGCGCAUGUUCGAAUCAUGCAGCCGUCG